rnacentral:rRNA from 1 species
AGAGUUUGAUCAUGGCUCAGAACGAACGCUGGCGGCGCGUCUUAAGCAUGCAAGUCGAGCGGUAAGGAGGUAGCUUGCUACUUCCCUAGAGCGGCGGACUGGUGAGUAACGCGUGGGUGACGUACCCUUUGGUUGGGGAUAGCCGGUAGAAAUACCGGGUAAUACCGAAUAAGACCUCUGGUAGAAAGAUUAGAGAGGAAAGCGGCUUCGGCCGCGCCGAAGGAACGGCCCGCGUACUAUUAGCUAGUUGGUGAGGUAACGGCCCACCAAGGCGACGAUAGUUAUCCGGCCUAAGAGGGUGAACGGACACAUUGGGACUGAGAUACGGCCCAGACUCCUACGGGAGGCAGCAGCUAAGAAUAUUCCGCAAUGGAGGAAACUCUGACGGAGCGACGCCGCGUGGAUGAUGAAGGCCGGAAGGUUGUAAAAUCCUUUUGAGUGUGAUGAAUAAAGCUUACAGGAAAUGGUAAGAAGAUGACCGUAGCACUUGAAUAAGGGGCGGCUAAUUACGUGCCAGCAGCCGCGGUAACACGUAAGCCCCGAGCGUUGUUCGGAAUUAUUGGGCGUAAAGGGCAUGUAGGCGGUUGUGCAAGCUUGGUGUGAAAUGCCGGGGCUUAACUCCGGCACUGCGUUGAGAACUGCACGACUAGAGUAACUGAGGGGCAGCCGGAAUUCCAGGUGUAGGGGUGAAAUCUGUAGAUAUCUGGAAGAACACCAAUGGCGAAGGCAGGCUACCAGCAGAUUACUGACGCUGAGGUGCGAAGGUGCGGGGAGCAAACAGGAUUAGAUACCCUGGUAGUCCGCACAGUCAACGAUGUACACUAGAUGUCUGGACAUGAGUCCGGGUGUCAAAGCAAACGCGAUAAGUGUACCGCCUGGGGAGUAUGCCCGCAAGGGUGAAACUCAAAGGAAUUGACGGGGGCCCGCACAAGCGGUGGAGCAUGUGGUUUAAUUCGAUGGUACGCGAGGAACCUUACCUGGGUUUGACAUACAGAGGAAUUACUCAGAGAUGAGUAAGCGUAGCAAUACGUCUCUGAACAGGUGCUGCAUGGCUGUCGUCAGCUCGUGCCGUGAGGUGUUGGGUUAAGUCCCGCAACGAGCGCAACCCCUACUGCCAGUUACUAGCAGGUAAAGCUGAGGACUCUGGCGGAACUGCCGGUGACAAACCGGAGGAAGGUGGGGAUGACGUCAAGUCAUCAUGGCCCUUAUGUCCAGGGCUACACACGUGCUACAAUGGUUGAUACAGAGUGAAGCGAGGCCGCGAGGCGGAGCAAAACGCAGAAAAUCAAUCGUAGUUCGGAUUGGAGUCUGAAACCCGACUCCAUGAAGUUGGAAUCGCUAGUAAUCGCAUAUCAGCACGAUGCGGUGAAUACGUUCCCGGGCCUUGUACACACCGCCCGUCACACCAUCCGAGUGGGGGGUACCCGAAGCCGGCAGUCUAACCGCAAGGAGGACGCUGUCCAAGGUACGCUUCGUGAGGGGGGUGAAGUCGUAACAAGGUAACC